UCCCAGACUCUUACGGGAGGCAGCAGUGGGGAAUAUUGCACAAUGGGGGAAACCCUGAUGCAGCGACGCCGCGUGAGCGAUGAAGUAUUUCGGUAUGUAAAGCUCUAUCAGCAGGGAAGAAGAUGACGGUACCUGACUAAGAAGCCCCGGCUAACUACGUGCCAGCAGCCGCGGUAAUACGUAGGGGGCAAGCGUUAUCCGGAUUUACUGGGUGUAAAGGGAGCGUAGACGGCGAUGCAAGCCAGAUGUGAAAGCCCGGGGCUCAACCCCGGGACUGCAUUUGGAACUGUGUGGCUGGAGUGUCGGAGAGGCAGGCGGAAUUCCUAGUGUAGCGGUGAAAUGCGUAGAUAUUAGGAGGAACACCAGUGGCGAAGGCGGCUUACUGGACUGUAACUGACGUUGAGGCUCGAAAGCGUGGGGAGCAAACAGGAUUAGAUACCCGGGUAU
rnacentral:rRNA from 1 species